UACUGCUAUCAGUGUUCGAUUAAGCCAUGCGAGUUAAAUGUUCUUCGUGAACAUGGCGUACUGCUCAGUAACACGUGGAUAACCUGCCCUAAGGUCCGGCAUAACCCCGGGAAACUGGGGAUAAUACCGGAUAAACCAUAGAUACUGGAAUGUUCUGUGGUUAAAAGUUCCGGCGCCUUAGGAUGGAUCUGCGGCCUAUCAGGUAGUAGUGGGUGUAAAGUACCUACUAGCCGACGACGGGUACGGGUUGUGAGAGCAAGAGCCCGGAGAUGGAUUCUGAGACAUGAAUCCAGGCCCUACGGGGCGCAGCAGGCGCGAAAUCUUUACAAUGCGGGAAACCGCGAUAAGGGGACACUGAGUGCCAGCAUAUUAUGCUGGCUGUCCACCUGUAUAAAUCACAGGUGUUAGCAAGGGCCGGGCAAGACCGGUGCCAGCCGCCGCGGUAACACCGGCGGCCCGAGUGGUAGCCACUAUUAUUGGGUCUAAAGGGUCCGUAGCCGGUUUGAUCAGUCUUCCGGGAAAUCUGACAGCUCAACUGUUAGGCUUCCGGGGGAUACUGUCA
rnacentral:rRNA from 1 species